rnacentral:rRNA from 1 species
UAUCUCUGUAGAGUCUGCAUAUCAAUAAGCGGAGGAAAAGAAACUAACUAGGAUUCCCUCAGUAACGGCGAGUGAAGCGGGAAGAGCUCAAAUUUGAAAUCUUCAAGGUUCUACCUUGACGAAUUGUAGUUUAAAGAAGUGUUUUCUGUUGGAGUUUUGGUAAAAGUUCUUUGGAAUAGGACAUCAUAGAGGGUGAGAAUCCCGUAUUUGACCAUUAUUUCCAGCUUUGUGAUACACUUUCAAAGAGUCGGAUUGUUUGGGAAUGCAGUCCAAAAUGGGUGGUAAAUUUCAUCUAAAGCUAAAUAUUGGCGAGAGACCGAUAGCGAACAAGUACCGUGAGGGAAAGAUGAAAAGAACUUUGAAAAGAGAGUUAAACAGUACGUGAAAUUGUCAAAAGGGAAGCGUUUGACACCAGUGUUGUUUUCUCGAAAAUCAAUAAAAAAAGGCAGGAUUUUGUGUUGUAUUGACUUUAUCAGCUUUCUGCACUCUUUUCUUGUCUUUUUUAAUGCACUUUUCGUUUAACAAGUCAACAUCAAUUUCUUUUGUUGUAAAAGAGUCAUUGGAAGGUGGCUUUCACUUUCGGAUGAAAGUGUUUAUAGCCUUUGGCCUCUGCAAUCGGAGAGAUUGAGGUCUGCAGCGUAGAUCCUUCGGGGUUAGAUACAGUUAGAUGCUAAGUUAUAGCUUUUCAUAGACAACUUGUUGACUAUAAUCAUCAUGUAGCUUACUCGCUUAUGGCUAUUUUACCUACGCUUAGGAUGUUGACGAUCAGCUGAGCGCG